rnacentral:misc_RNA from 1 species
GAUGAAGAACGCAGCGAAAUGCGAUAAGUAAUGUGAAUUGCAGAAUUCAGUGAAUCAUCGAAUCUUUGAACGCACAUUGCGCCCUCUGGUAUUCCGGGGGGCAUGCCUGUUCGAGCGUCAUUAUAACCACUCAAGCUCUCGCUUGGUAUUGGGGUUCGCGGUUCCGCGGCCCCUAAAAUCAGUGGCGGUGCCUGUCGGCUCUACGCGUAGUAAUACUCCUCGCGAUUGAGUCCGGUAGGUCUACUUGCCAGCAACCCCCAAUUUUUACAGGUUGACCUCGGAUCAGGUAGGGAUACCCGCUGAACUUAAGCAUAUCAAUAAGAGGAGGA